UACGAAGGGGGCUAGCGUUGCUCGGAAUCACUGGGCGUAAAGCGCACGUUAGGCGGAUUGUUAAGUCGGGGGUGAAAUCCUGGAGCUCAACUCCAGAACUGCCUUCGAUACUGGCGAUCUUGAGUCCGGGAGAGGUGAGUGGAACUCCGAGUGUAGAGGUGAAAUUCGUAGAUAUUCGGAAGAACACCAGUGGCGAAGGCGGCUCACUGGCCCGGUACUGACGCUGGAGGUGCGAAAGCGUGGGGAGCAAA
rnacentral:rRNA from 1 species